GAUGAACGCUGGCGGCGUGCCUAAUACAUGCAAGUCGAGCGAACAGACGAGGAGCUUGCUCCUCUGACGUUAGCGGCGGACGGGUGAGUAACACGUGGAUAACCUACCUAUAAGACUGGGAUAACUUCGGGAAACCGGAGCUAAUACCGGAUAAUAUAUUGAACCGCAUGGUUCAAUAGUGAAAGACGGUUUUGCUGUCACUUAUAGAUGGAUCCGCGCCGCAUUAGCUAGUUGGUAAGGUAACGGCUUACCAAGGCAACGAUGCGUAGCCGACCUGAGAGGGUGAUCGGCCACACUGGAACUGAGACACGGUCCAGACUCUUACGGGAGGCAGCAGUAGGGAAUCUUCGCAAUGGGCGAAAGCCUGACGGAGCAACGCCGCGUGAGUGAUGAAGGUCUUCGGAUCGUAAAACUCUGUUAUUAGGGAAGAACAAAUGUGUAAGUAACUAUGCACGUCUUGACGGUACCUAAUCAGAAAGCCACGGCUAACUACGUG
rnacentral:rRNA from 1 species